AGGAUAAUAGUUAAAUAUAACAUUUAAUUUGCAUUUAAAAAGUAUUGAUUAUUCAAUUUAUCUU
rnacentral:tRNA from 1 species